GUCCCUGUAGCGCAAUGGAUAGCGUGUUGGACUUUUAAUCUAUAGGUUCGAAUUCCACCUGGGAUG